rnacentral:ribozyme from 10 species
AAGGAAGGUUUCCACGCGUCGCAUUGAAGGAAUAAUCAACAGAAAGUUAUUAAUUUUAUCCUUUGUUACAUCCAGCAAAAUCUUGAGAUUGUUCAGAAUCUGAAGACAGACAAAAAUAGUAGGA